CCAAUAGCGUAUAUUAAAGUUGUUGCAGUUAAAAGGCUCGUAGUUGAAUUUCGGGACCAAUAUGUCGGUCGUGCUUCGGUACGUACUUGCAUUAUUGGUUUCUCCCUUCUGAAGAACCAUGAUGUCAUUAAUUUGGUGUCUUGGGGAAUCAGGACUGUUACUUUGAAAAAAUUAGAGUGUUUAAAGCAGGCUCACGCUUGAAUACAUUAGCAUGGAAUAAUGAAAUAGGACGUUUGAUUCUAUUUUGUUGGUUUCUAGGAUCGACAUAAUGAUUAAUAGGGAUAGUUGGGGGCAUUAGUAUUCAAUUGUCAGAGGUGAAAUUCUUGGAUUUAUUGAAGACUAACUACUGCGAAAGCAUUUGCCAAGGAUGUUUUCAUUAAUCAAGAACGAAAGUUAGGGGAUCGAAGACGAUCAGAUACCGUCGUAGUCUUAACCAUAAACUAUGCCGACUAGGGAUCGGAUGAUGUUAUUUUUGAUGACUCAUUCGGCGCCUUACG
rnacentral:rRNA from 1 species